UCUUAAUGUUUCAUUUUUCUUGAGGUUAUUACUAUAAGUAUUAUGUUGCUAUGCUUAGAUUGAUCCGGUAUUUACCAUGAUAAUUUUAUUUGAACAAUAGUUUACAUUAUAUUAUUUUGUUGAUCUCGUAGAUUUUGAGUUGAAAUGAGUUAAAGGGCCGAUGAAAAAUCUAUCCGUCGGGUUUAGAGGCCUCCCCAUUUUAAAAGACGGAUAUCUAAUUCAAGUUUAUAUAUAUUUUUAGUUGUUGAAAUUGGCCGAUGAAGAAAUUACCGUCGAUUUCCAAGGCCUCCCGUGUCAAUAAGACGGAUUUUUAUUCUUAAGUUAUUAUUUGAGUUAUUCAUUUUUUGUUAUAUUUAUUUGGCACUAACUCUUUUACUAAGUGUCUUUACAGGUACACCGAGGUGCUUUUCCUUGAAAUUAUUCGAAAAAGUUCAAAUUAUAUUUUUAUUUCAUUAUUAU
rnacentral:misc_RNA from 1 species